GAUGAACGCUGGCGGCGUGCCUAAUACAUGCAAGUCGAGCGAACAGACGAGAGUGCUUGCACUCUCUGACGUUAGCGGCGGACGGGUGAGUAACACGUGGGUAACCUACCUAUAAGACUGGGAUAACUUCGGGAAACCGGAGCUAAUACCGGAUAAUAUUUAGCUUCGCAUGAAGCAAUAGUGAAAGACGGUUCUGCUGUCACUUAUAGAUGGACCCGCGGUGUAUUAGCUAGUUGGUGAGGUAACGGCUCACCAAGGCAACGAUACAUAGCCGACCUGAGAGAGUGAUCGGCCACACUGGGACUGAGACACGGCCCGGACUCCUACGGGAGGCAGCAGUAGGGAAUCUUCCGCAAUGGACGAAAGUCUGACGGAGCAAUGCCGCGUGAGUGAAGAAGGUUUUCGGAUCGUAAAACUCUGUUGUAAGGGAAGAACAAGUACGUUAGUAACUGAACGUACCUUGACGGUACCUUACCAGAAAGCCACGGCUAACUACGUG
rnacentral:rRNA from 1 species